rnacentral:pre_miRNA from 10 species
CGGUUCACUGCCAGUUUUGCGUAGUUGCUCUGCAAGAAAAUUGAGUUGUGCAAAUCUAUGCAAAACUGACGGUGUACUGUGUCUCUGCAAAAUCAA